rnacentral:SRP_RNA from 1 species
GCCGGGCGUGGUGGCGGGCGCCUGUAGUCCCAGCUACUCAGGAGGCUGAGGCAGGAGAAUUGCUUGAACCUGGGAGGUGUAGGUUGCAGUGAGCUGAGAUCACGCCACUGCACUCUAGCCUGGGUGACAGAGCGAGACUCUGUCUCAA